GAGGUACCAGGAAUAAACUUCACCAUGUGGCUGUGGAACGACUCCAGAGAUGUGGCAUGGCCCCUGCGCAAGGAUGACACGCAAAUUCGUGAAGCGUUCCAUAUUUUU
rnacentral:snRNA from 1 species